UACGGAAUGUGCAAACGUUAUUCGGAAUCACUGGGCUUAAAGAGUCCGUAGGCGGCAUGUUAGGUGAGGUGUGAAAUCCCCCGGCUCAACCGAGGAAUUGCGCUUCAAACCGGCGUGCUUGAGGAAGAUAGAGGUGGGCGGAACUGAUGGUGGAGCGGUGAAAUGCGUUGAUAUCAUCAGGAACACCGGAGGCGAAGGCGGCCCACUGGGUCUUUUCUGACGCUGAGGGACGAAGGCUAGGGGAGCGAACGGG
rnacentral:rRNA from 1 species